GAUGAACGCUGGCGGCGUGCCUAACACAUGCAAGUCGAACGGAGAUUACGGACGGAAGUUUUCGGAUGGAAGACUGUAAUUCUUAGUGGCGGACGGGUGAGUAACGCGUGGGCAACCUGCCCUAUACAGGGGGAUAGCAGCUGGAAGUGGCUGGUAAGACCGCAUAAGUCGGCGAGACCGCAUGGUUUUGCCGGGAAAUGAGCAAUCAGGUAUAGGAUGGGCCCGCGUCCGAUUAGCCAGUUGGCAGGGUAAAAGCCUACCAAAGCAACGAUCGGUAGCCGGACUGAGAGGUCGGACGGCCACAUUGGGACUGAGACACGGCCCAAACUCCUACGGGAGGCAGCAGUGGGGGAUAUUGCACAAUGGAGGAAACUCUGAUGCAGCGACGCCGCGUGAGUGAAGAAGUAUUUCGGUAUGUAAAGCUCUAUCAGCAGGGAAGAUGAUGACGGUACCUGACGAAGAAGCCCCGGCUAACUACGUG
rnacentral:rRNA from 1 species